GCCGCGGGCGCCGCCCCUUCGCGGGUGUAGACGGCGCCGGUGCCGCCCUCCCGGGGCAAGGCGGGGGAGGCCCAGGGGCGGGGGGACCGCGCUCCCCGGCGCCGGCUCGGGCCGCUCCAGCCCCCGGUCAGCGGGGCGGCAGGGCUCCGCGCUGCAGGGUGUGGCCGUGCCCCUCGGGCCACUCAGCCCCGGGCACGCUGCGUUCCACGCGUCCGCGGGGCUGGGAGGACUCGCCGUGUCCGAGCGCGUGGGGGCGCCCGGGCUUUCCAGGAGGGCCAUUGCUCCCGGCGCGGAGCGGGGGUCCUUAGCCGGGGCCCCCAGCUCGCUGCUCCCGCAGGUUUGUUCAAACAAGGGCUGCUCAUCCCACGUUGUCCCCCGCCUCCUUCCUGGAUCUGGGACCUGGGACCUGGGACCUGGGACGACCCCAUCCAAGCCCGGCCCCCGGCUGCGGGAAUCCCACAGAAAACAGGUCAGCCUGAGCCCAGCCCGCAGCCCAGGCUCAGGUCCGCUUCCCGGGUGACCUGCUUUGCUUUAAAGCUGGCUUGAGGGCUGUUUGUUUUUCCUCUGCUGCCCAUCCUCAAAAGCCCACCUCCUACUUAGGAACAUGGACCUCAGGGUGUCUGGCGCCUGGCAUGCGGGAGUGUGCGGGGAUGAGCGACUGGGCAGUCGAUCCUGGUCCUGCCACUGCAGCCGUGCCCAUUUCCACGUCCCUAAGGUUAGCGGAGCCUGGGGACCGGAGAGAGAGCUGCUGCUUCCUGGAACCGGCUUCCGCGGGAUGGCUGCGGUGGAGACGCCCCGCCCCCUUGCUCAGGUUUCAGGGCUGGCUGAGCUGCAGCCGGGCGGCCUCCUCCUGGUCACGGGACGACGAUGGCCAGGUUGCCGGCAGGCAAGCAGGGCAGGGCGCUGGCCCAAGCAGCAGGAAGCCAGGCGGGAAGGCUGCUUGGCACAAUCUCCCUUGCGUCUCCGUGGCCAUAAGAGGGACGUGUGUCCAUCCUCGCAUGGGAGCUGUGGGUGCCCGUCUCCGAGAUCAGAGGAGUCCCCCCGGUAACUGUUGGUGGGGGCAGAGGGGGCACUGCUGGUCCUCCAGAGAUUCAGGUAUCCGAGGAGCCCCUGAUAGUGACUGUCAGUGGCAGGGGAGGGGGACACCGUCGGUCCUCCCUCCCAAGACCACCUUCAGUUCAUCUGAGUCAGGUGUCCAGGGAAACCCCACAAGCGGUCAGAGUCCCCUCCCAUGGGUUCCUGUGACAUCCACCCGCCCCGCCCCUGCACUUGGGUGCAGGGCUGGGCUGUCACUCCCACACCUCCACCCCAAUCCUAGCCAGUGGGGAACGGGCUUAGUGGCUACCCCCGGGUCACAUGUGAAAUGCAGCAAGGACAGGAUCACCCCGAGAGUCGUGGUGGCGGUCAGUAGAAGAAGGCAAAGCAAUGGACUCUGACACCCACCGGUGGGCUGCGACCCUGGGUUUGAGAACCUCGAGGGCUGGAUUUGCUUCCCUUUUCUAACUUGACCUGGGGUAUCACUUUCCCAUUGCUGCUAAAACAAAUGACCACAAACGCAGUGGCCGCAAACCAUAUACACCGGGGUUCGUAGAGCGGUGGGGGUGGGAAGUGUGCGGUGGGCUCAGCCGGCAGCGGGGGAAAGUCCACGUCCUGGCUUUUGGCUCGCGCCCAGCAUCUCUUCAACCCGUGCUUCCCCGGAUCCUGAUCUUUGUGAUUGCACUGGCCCCGCCUGGGCAAUCCAGGGUCAGCUCCCACCCCAAGAUCUCGAAUCGCUUUUGUAAAAUGUGCACGUCCUGGAGAUCAGGACGUUUUUGGGAGGGGGUGGGUGGCACUGUGCUAGCGUCCAGGUCACCGCACACCCCCAGCCGAGCGUCCUAACCGGCUCCUGCUCGUGCUGGGUAGGGUGGCCUGUUCCUCAGGGGGUAAUGGCGCCCCCUCGGCUGCCCGGCAGGCUCUGGGGGGGAAGGUCUGGGGUCUUCACGUGGCUGCCUGCAGAGCUGGGCUCACACAGGACUGCAGAGUGCCGCCAAGGCUGGCCCAGUGUGCUCAGGCUAAUAUUCUGGGGGAAACUCUUGAACCUCUUUCGGCUGGCACAUUCCCGCAUUCAUGGCUCCCCUCCGUCCCUCUCCCCGUUUUAGGGUAAGGAUCUCUGGGGCCUACCCGAGUCAGUGCCAAGUCUGAAAGCGAACCCUAACUCCCUGGGCCGUCCACUAUGAAAUGCCAAUUCUGCAAUACCCUGGUUUUACAGAGGGAGGCGCUAAGGUUCUGAGACCUUAAGGUUAACUCGCCCAGGUCACAGGACCUGUUAGGACGAUAAACUGACAGGAAAGCCCGGGCUCAGAUCUCGGGCCUUGGCCAGAUUCGGGCACAGUGGGCUACAGCCUGGCCGGAGUCUAAGGGGAGGGCGAGAGGGAGGAGCCUGGCUCUGGCCGCCCCGGCAGGAAGCAAGAUGGGCAGACGUCCGAGCCGCUUGUGUGAAACGGUGUAGUCUGCAGGUAGUCUGCAGAGAGAGCGAGCCCACAGUCCCCUCAGCUGGUUCACUUCCCGAAUGCCUGCGACUCAGCAACUCAGUCCAGGUCUGCCGUGCGUGCGGGCGGCAGGGGCCCAGGUGCUGACCCCAGGGUGUGCAUUAGCAGGGAGCCGGAAGCCGGAGCGGAGCUGGGACUGACACCCACGCCCUCUGAGCCAGGACGCAGACGUCCCGGGCAGCGCCUGAACCGCGUGCCCAACACCCCCUCCCAUAUGCUUACAGUCAUCUCUGGAUUGCCUGUGAUCCCUAAUACGAUGGAAACGCUAUAGACGGCUGGGGAGUGACGAGGAAGACAGCCAGCACGCGUCGGCAUCGGUGUGCUCGCACUUCUGAGCUGUGACGGCCGAGUGUGCAGGCGUGGGACGCGCCGCGACUACAGGGGCCUGGGUUACACCUACACCACCACCGAAACAACCGAAGCCGGCACAUCCUGUUUCCUUUUUGUUGUUUCUCUACAUACACUGUCUCUCCAAAGAGCUCCAGGCCUGCUGGUCAACUGUGUGAUGUAAUGAAACUACAGAUGGCAGCCGAUUCCUGCCUCCCGGCCGGCUCUGCUCCCCCAGUCUGUGGCUGAUGGCCCUGCUGGCGCAGUGCGUACAGAAACACCAGUCACGGGGUGCUCUCGCUGGCCACGGCACAGGCGAGGAGGCAGCGCCGCCGGCCAGCACCCCCGCGCUAAGAUUCUCUCUUAGAGGAAGGGAGGCUUCCCGGAAGCCACCAAGAGGGCAAAGUGAGCCGCUUCCGAGAGCAGGCAGCCCGCCCGCGCGCCGGCCCCGCCGCCCUGGUCACCCGUGCAGGGAGGCGGCGGCAGGGCCGCGCUCACGAGCGCCCGGUGCAUGUCCUUCGCUCUUCAUGUAUGCUGUGCCUCUUAAGACUCGGCCUUGGGGGCCACACACGAGAGCUGAGGACGACGAGCCCGGUCAGUCUGGGCCCCACAACCUCUGAACCCCUCGGCGGCUCCUCCCUCCCACUCGCACACUCCAGAGCCCCAUGCCGGCCGGGCGCUCUGGGCCACAGGCUGCCCUGUUACUCAGACGCCACGGGCACGGCCCCCGGGGACCUCCCCUCCCGGUCCAUGGUUCUCUGGUCACAGGCUGUCUAGGACGGGCAGUUUAAGAGGCUGACAUCUAAGACUUCAGCCUAUAAAUGAACAUUCACUCUGAUGAAGAACCUCACCCUGUUCACCAGAUUUUCCUACUAAAAAUGCAAACAAAAACCGAACACAUUGAGGAUUUUUAUUUUCUUUUCUAGUGGACAAUUUACAUACCCCCCUCACCCUUUCCUUUAAGUUAGUGGACAAUCUUCCAUAAUAAACUACUUAAAGAGAAGCUUUGGUCAAGAAUGGAAUGAAAUCGAAAAAAAAAAAAAAAAAAAAGAAA